ensembl:lncRNA
AUGUGGUUGCUAGGGUACUCCGGGUGGUUGCUAAGAUAUAAUAAUAAUAAUAAUAAUAGAUAGAUGGAUAAGAAAUUUUAGGUAGAAGGGAUGCUUGAUUGAGUCUCAAGGGAUUCUGGGAGUUUAAAUUUGAAUUUUGACAGUUGGAGUUUGAAUAGUCUUGGCUCGUUUGAACAGUUCGUCAAUGGGAUUUUUAUGAUUUAUUUUAAUCUUGAUUUUAUCACUUACUCUGAACGUUUCAGCCUCCUAAGCAGUUUAAGUUGUGGAAGAACAACGCCGUUCCUCCGCCACAGACGUACGUGACGGAGGAGAAGAAGAAAGGAGCUCCUGAUGGAAUGGACAUGGCCAUCAAAUGGUCCAAUGUAUACGAGGACAACGGAGACGACGCCCCUCAAGCCCACCGGGGCCCCGCCCACUUCCUGCCGGAGGAGGAGGAGCAGCAACAGCAGCCGGACUCUGGUAACAUCUAUCUAUCUAUCUAUCUAUCUAUCUAUCUAUCUAUCGUUCUAUCUAUCUAUCGUUCUAUCUAUCUAUCGUUCUAUCUAUCUAUCGUUCUAUCUAUCUAUCUAUCUAUCUAUCUGUCUAUCGUUCUAUCUGUCUAUCGUUCUAUCGUUCUAUCUAUCUGUCUAU